rnacentral:snoRNA from 1 species
GACCCUCAAGGUCACACCUGGAGAGUUUCCAGUACUUUACCAGUCUCGACUAUGAGAGGGAGAGUCAAGCAGAGGCCUAACCAUUCCAUUCCUAGCUUGGGCAGUGGCUAGCGAGUGGAAGGCAACCUGCUACAAGU